rnacentral:rRNA from 1 species
CCUACGGGAGGCAGCAGUGAGGAAUCUUGGUCAAUGGGCGGGAGCCUGAACCAGCCAAGUCGCGUGAGGGAAGACGGUCCUACGGAUUGUAAACCUCUUUUGCCGGGGAGCAACGGGGUCCUUGCGAGGGCCCGAUGAGAGUACCCGGAGAAAAAGCAUCGGCUAACUCCGUGCCAGCAGCCGCGGUAAUACGGAGGAUGCGAGCUUUAUCCGGAUUUAUUGGGUUUAAGGGGUGCGUAGGCGGGCUGUUCAGUCAGCGGUAAAAAUUCGGGGCUCAACCCCGUCGUGCCGUUGAAACUGAUGUUCUUGAGUGGGCGAGGAGUAUGCGGAAUGCGUGGUGUAGCGGUGAAAUGCAUAGAUAUCACGCAGAACUCCGAUUGCGAAGGCAGCAUACCGGCGCCCAACUGACGCUGAAGCACGAAAGCGUGGGUAUCGAACAGGAUUAGAUACCCUUGUAGUC